rnacentral:rRNA from 1 species
AUUGAACGCUGGCGGAAUGCUUUACACAUGCAAGUCGAGCGGCAGCGCGGGGCAACCUGGCGGCGAGCGGCGAACGGGUGAGUAAUGCAUCGGAACGUACCCAGUCGUGGGGGAUAACUGUCCGAAAGGACAGCUAAUACCGCAUACGUCCUGAGGGAGAAAGCGGGGGAUCGCAAGACCUCGCGCGAUUGGAGCGGCCGAUGCCGGAUUAGCUAGUUGGUAGGGUAAAGGCCUACCAAGGCGACGAUCCGUAGCUGGUCUGAGAGGACGACCAGCCACACUGGAACUGAGACACGGUCCAGACUCCACGGGAGGCAGCAGUGGGGAAUUUUGGACAAUGGGGGCAACCCUGAUCCAGCCAUUCCGCGUGAGUGAAGAAGGCCUCGGUUGUAAGACGUCUUCGGUCAGGAACGAACGGUAGAGGGCGUAAGUACCUUUA